rnacentral:rRNA from 1 species
CAGCAGCCGCGGGAAUACGGAGGGAGCUAGCGUUGUUCGGAAUUACUGGGCGUAAAGCGCACGUAGGCGGUUAUUCAAGUCAGAGGUGAAAGCCCGGGGCUCAACCCCGGAACUGCCUUUGAAACUAGAUGACUAGAAUCUUGGAGAGGUCAGUGGAAUUCCGAGUGUAGAGGUGAAAUUCGUAGAUAUUCGGAAGAACACCAGUGGCGAAGGCGACUGACUGGACAAGUAUUGACGCUGAGGUGCGAAAGCGUGGGGAGCAAACAGGAUUAGAGACCCCCGUAGUCCCUGUCUCUUAUAC